CCUCUCGUCUUCUUUCCCUCCCUCUUUGCCUCCUAUCCGCUAUUCACAAGAAGCUGGAGCUAGUCCGGGUGCGAUGUGGAGUGGGCGGCUAGCGGAGGGAACCCGCUCCUCUCUCCGGCGCUGCAAGGACAGAAGCCGGCGAUGCAUGGAGGGAGCUCUCGCGGUCUUGCCCAACCGUUUCUCAUAGGCAAGAGGGGACACUUUCCGGCUGCAGGGGAUUGAGAAAUAACAACAGGAGAGAGUAGGCCAGUCUUUCCACCUGACCUGGACCACCUGCAGGGCAAGAAAAAUGUCAUUCCAUUGUCUUCAUGCACUGGUCCCGUUAACUGAGACACGACCAUAAUCACAACCUCAGUGGAGCUAUGCUGCAGCAGAUUCUGGAGGUCCUAUGAGAUAUUCCCAUGAUACAAAGAAGCUAACAGUAUUUUGAGGGGAAAGAAUUCAGAACCAGCAAAUUGUCUUAAUUUGGAAGGACACCUACUUUGAUCAAAACUGCUACCCCACACCCCUUUUCCAAAUACACUAAGAAGAAAUGUUGUUGGUCCUUUGUUUUCAAAGAGUUGCACAAAGUCAUCAGCCUCACUCUCUCUUCCAGGGUCAUUGAAGUCUAGUGGAAAGAUAAAUGGCAAGAUGGCUAGCAAUGGCCUAGGAUCAGUGAAUGACUUUGGUAUCUUUAAUGUCUGACCAGGUGCUCCACAGGCAUAUGCUUCAACCACCUUCGUGGCCAUUGGAAAAAAAUGUUCUUAUCCAUCCAUUCAGCCAGGAGAUAUCUUCACAUGCUUGAGACAGACAUUCUCUUUACUUUCUGAUGAGUUCCAGACCUGUUGGUUACCCUCAACCUGUUUUAACCUGUCUGUCAAGAUGGUUUUAUUGGAGUAUCGCUGCUGUGCAUACAACAGCUUCUUGGAGCCAUAGGAGAGAUUUGCGUGGUAGGUGGAUACCCAAGGUGAAUGAGCACCCCUGACAAGGGCUUAACAAGCCCUCACACUAGAGGUACUAGUCCUCCUUGUGUUAUUGACUAAUGAUUCAUUGCCUUGGUGAUUAUUUUUGAUUAUUUUGUGAGAACAGCUGGAGAUGGGAGUUACUUUACAGUGAAUAAAGAAAACCCCACACUGAAUAACUC